UCCAUUUUCUUGCUCGGUCUACCUUACUGCUGUUGCUGCUGCUACCAUUUUUCAUCAGAGGCUAGCUGCUACCAUGGUUCAUCACAGACUUAUAGAGUUAGGUUUAUAUAUGCUUCAUCAUUCAUAAUUAUUUGUCAACACGGACUACCUUCUUCAAGCACUGUUAUGAAGACUGCUGUGUGUAUGGCGAGUUUAAUUCCCUUUUGUAAUCGGUUAAGAAUCUGAUUACUUGCCGCCAUGAAGACGAGGUUCCCAUUAGGAAUGUUACUAUAAGAAAAAUUCCUAGGGUAUAUGGUGAUCUUCCGCUUUAUGACAUACUGAAUGAAUUUCAGAAAGGUCACAGUCACAUGGCCGUGGUUGUGAAGCGCAUGAAAGAUACUGAGGCAAAUAUGGAAAAGAGCAAGAAGGAUAUAUCAGAAAAUGGAGGCCAUAAAAGUAGGAAACAUCUUCUAGGUGAUGGUAUUACUGCUCAUCAAUGAGAAGCGUCAAGUGAUUCAAGAGUACGUGUCAGGAAAGGCAAUUCCAAAUCAGCAGAUAACUACCAAACUAGAGAGGGUCUUGGGAAUGAAACUGAGAGGAAAGAAAUAAUUUGCCCUGUACAAAAUUCGUAACUUAUGGAACUUUGACAUAUGCAGCAAAUGGUUCAAUUUUGAUUUUGAGCAGCUUGAACUGGUGAUAGUAUAUAUGAAGUGUGGAGCUAGUUUUGUGUCUUUUUACGCGAGAUGAACUUGUUGCUUGUGUUACAUCA